rnacentral:rRNA from 1 species
AGAGUUUGAUCCUGGCUCAGGAUGAACGCUAGCGACAGGCUUAACACAUGCAAGUCGAGGGGCAGCGGAGGCGAGUGCUUGCACUUGCCAGACGGCGACCGGCGCACGGGUGAGUAACACGUAUGCGACCUGCCCGUAGCAGGGGGAUAAGCGGAAGAAAUUCCGUCUAAUACCGCGUAAUAUCUUUCGGGGGCAUCCCUGAGGGAUUAAAGGAAGCGAUUCCGGCUACGGAUGGGCAUGCGGCGCAUUAGCUAGUCGGCGGGGUAACGGCCCACCGAGGCGACGAUGCGUAGGGGUUCUGAGAGGAAGGUCCCCCACACUGGUACUGAGACACGGACCAGACUCCUACGGGAGGCAGCAGUGAGGAAUAUUGGUCAAUGGGCGAGAGCCUGAACCAGCCAAGUCGCGUGAGGGAAGACGGUCCUAUGGAUUGUAAACCUCUUUUGUCGGGGAGCAAAAAGGCCUCGUGAGGCCACAAGCGAGAGUACCCGAAGAAAAAGCAUCGGCUAACUCCGUGCCAGCAGCCGCGGUAAUACGGAGGAUGCGAGCGUUAUCCGGAUUUAUUGGGUUUAAAGGGUGCGUAGGCGGACUGGAAAGUCAGCGGUAAAAUCGAGAGGCUCAACCUCUUUCCGCCGUUGAAACUGUCGGUCUUGAGUGGGCGAGAAGUAUGCGGAAUGCGUGGUGUAGCGGUGAAAUGCAUAGAUAUCACGCAGAACUCCGAUUGCGAAGGCAGCAUACCGGCGCCCAACUGACGCUGAGGCACGAAAGCGUGGGUAUCGAACAGGAUUAGAUACCCUGGUAGUCACGCAGUAAACGAUGAAUACUAAUUGUCCGGUCAGAAUGAUGACUGGGUGAUACAGCGAAAGCGUUAAGUAUUCCACCUGGGGAGUACGCCGGCAACGGUGAAACUCAAAGGAAUUGACGGGGGCCCGCACAAGCGGAGGAACAUGUGGUUUAAUUCGAUGAUACGCGAGGAACCUUACCCGGGCUCAAACGACACAGGAACGUACCUGAAAGGGUUCGGCUCUACGGAGCCUGUGUCGAGGUGCUGCAUGGUUGUCGUCAGCUCGUGCCGUGAGGUGUCGGCUUAAGUGCCAUAACGAGCGCAACCCCCAUCGACAGUUGCUAACAGGUCAGGCUGAGGACUCUGUCGAGACUGCCGGCGCAAGCUGCGAGGAAGGCGGGGAUGACGUCAAAUCAGCACGGCCCUUACGUCCGGGGCGACACACGUGUUACAAUGGCAGGUACAGCGGGAAGCCACCUGGCGACAGGGAGCGGAACCCGAAAGCCUGUCUCAGUUCGGAUUGGAGUCUGCAACCCGACUCCAUGAAGCUGGAUUCGCUAGUAAUCGCGCAUCAGCCACGGCGCGGUGAAUACGUUCCCGGGCCUUGCACACAACGCCCGUCAAG